rnacentral:rRNA from 1 species
UGGCGGCAUGCCUAAGACAUGCAAGUCGUACGAAGUGACCCUUUGAAGCAGAGUGCUUGCACAAAACGGAUAAGGAUUUUCACUUAGUGGCGCAAGGGUGAUAACACGUGGGUUAUCUGCCUUGGAGACUGGAAUAACAAUUGGAAACGAUUGCUAAUGCCGGAUGAUAUGUAACAAGAUACGUUUUCUUAUAUUAAAAGAAGCCUUUAAAGCUUCACUUCAAGAUGAGCCUGCGGCGCAUUAGCUAGUUGGUGGGGUAAAGGCCUACCAAGGCAACGAUGCGUAGCCGAACUGAGAGGUUGAUCGGCCACAUUGGGACUGAGACACGGCCCAAACUCCUACGGGAGACAGCAGUUAAGAAUAUUCGUCAAUGGGGGAAACCCUGAACGAGCAAUGCCGCGUGAAUGAUGACGGUCCUCUGGAUUGUAAAAUUCUGUUGUUGAGGAAGAACGACCUGUAUAGGAAAUGAUACACGAGUGACG